GUGGACAUAGUGUAAUAAAAACGUCAGAUUGUGAUUCUGAAAAUAGAAGUUAAAACCCUCUUGCCCACC
rnacentral:tRNA from 1 species